rnacentral:lncRNA from 10 species
GUGAGUCCAUAGAGUAAAGUGAAGGCAAGUUUAUUAAGAAAUUAAAGGAAUAAAAGAAUGCCUACUCCAUAGGCAGAGCAGUGGUAUGGGCUGCUUGAUUAAGUAUAAUAGUUAUUUCUUGAUUAUAUUCUUAUAGUUAUUCCUUGAUUAUAUGCUAAACAAAGGGUGGAUUAUUCAUGAGUUUUCUGGGAAAGGGGUGGGCAAUUUCUGGAACGGUUUUUCCCCUUUUUAGACCAUAUAGGGUAACUUCCUGCUGUUUCCAUGACAUUUGUAAACUGUCAUGGCACUGAUGGGAGUGUCUUUUAGCAUGCUAAUGCAUUAUGAUUACCAUAUAAUAAACGGUGAAGAAGGCCAGAGGUCACUUUUGUCACCAUCUUGGUUUUGGCUGGCUUCUUUACCACAUCCUGUUUGUUGACAAAAAGAGUCAAACUAUAGAAUAUUUGAAGAGGUUUAUUCUGAGCCAAAUAUGAGUGACCAUGGCCCAUAACACAGCCCUCAGGAGGUCCUGAGAACAUGUGCCCAAGGUGGUCAGGGUGCAGUUUGGCUUUAUACAUUUUAGGGAGAAAUGAGACUUCAAUCAAAUACAUUUAAGCAAUACAUUGCUUUGGUCCAGAAAGGUGGGACAACUCAAAGCAGGGGCUUCUAGCUUACAGAUAGAUUUAAAAUUUUUCUGGUUGACAAUUGGCUGAGUUUAUCUAAAGACCUAGGAUCAACAGAAAGGAAUGUUUGGGUUAAAAUAAAGGAUUGUGAAGACCAAAGUUCUUAUUUGCAGAGGAAGCCUUCAGGUAGAAGGCUUCAGAGAGAAUAGGUUGUAAAAUGUUUCUUAUCAGACUUAAAGUCUGUGUUGAUGUUAAUGCCAGGGAUGUAUAAUGAGGCAUGUCCUACCCUCACUUCCCAGGAUAGCCUGAAUCAGUCUUUCAGGUUGAAUUUCAAGAGUGCCCUGGCUGAAGAGGAAGUCCAUUUGGAUGGUUUGGGUGCCUUAGAAUUUUAUUUUUGGUCUAGACGUUUUAUCAGCAAGGUCUUUAUAAAAUGUAUCUUGUGCCAACCUCCUAUCUCAUCCUGUGACUUAGAGUGCCUAACUUCCUAGGAAUGCAGCCCAGUGGGUCUCAGUCUUAUUUUACCCAGCCCCUAUUCAAGAUGGGGUCACUCUGGUUCAAAUGCCUCUAACAAAACCAGAUGGCCUGGGAUGGCACCAGAGCUUCUUAACCCCUGACCAGAUACUGGAGGGAGAUAUGACCCCCAAACCAGCACAGACUGGAACAGAUGACCCCUUGUUACCUUUAGAUCAUUAACAUAUCAUUAUAAUGCUAAAUUUCCCACCCUUAUGUAAAAGGAAAAUAAAUCUCAGGACCCCAAAAUCACUAAGCCAAAGGGAAGACUCAAGUUGGGAACUGCAUCAGGCAAACCUUCCUCCCAUUCUUUUCUACAUACCUCUCUCACAAUUUGCCCACAAGGAAAUUCCUUGUGGACAAAGGACAGAUAGAACUCAAAGUCAUCCCUUUGCUCAUGUAAGACAAGUGCAUAUCUGAUUGCUUCUUUUGCCUUAUUGUUUUCACUAAGCCAGACUAAAGCAUAAGUGACUAUUCCUAUGAAGUGUGUAUUCAGUGAAAGGCUAAUCAAAAACUCAAAAGAAUAUAACCAUUUGUUUCUUAUCUACCUAUGACCUGGAAGCCCCCUCCGUGCUUUGAGUUGUCCCACUUUUCUAGACCAAACCAAUGUACAUCUUACAUGUAUUGAUUGAUGUCUCAUGUCUCCUUAAAACGCAUAAAACCAAGCUGUGCCUCAAUUGCCUUGGGCACAUGUCAUCAGGACCUCCUAAGGAUAUGUCACAGGCACGUCCUUAACCUUGACAAAGUAAACUUUCUAAAUUGACUGAGACUUGUCUCAGAUACUCUUGGUUUACACUUAUAGGAAAAUCACCACCAUUUUCUGAACAUAUGUCACAUGAAGAGGAGAGUUUAUUGUCUACGCCUGUGUCUAGGGUUCCUCCUUGCACAUGUUUGCAUACUUUCCCACCCCAUGGCUAACUCCUUAAAAUUCCCCAGUGUAUUAGUCUGUUCUUAUGCUGCUAAUAAAGACAUACCGGAGACUGGGCAAUUUAUAAAGGAGAGAGGUUUAAUUGACUCACAGUUCCACAUGGCUGGGGAGGCCUCACAAUUUUGGCAGAAGGGCCAAGUGCAGUGACUCACACCUGUAAUCCCAGAACUUUGGGAGGCUGAGACAGGCAGAUCACCGAAGUCAGGAGUUUGAGAUUAGCCUGGCCAACAUGGCGAAACCCCAUCUCUACUAAAAAUUAGCCAGGCGUGGUGGUGCACACCUGUAAUCCCAGCUCCUCAGGAGACUGAGAGAGGAGAAUGGCUUGAACCUGGGAGGCAGAGGUUGCAGUGAGCCAAGAUUGCAUUACUGUACUCCCACCUGGGUGACAGAGUGAGACUCUGUCUCAAAAAAAAAAAAAAAAAAGAAAAAAAGAAAAUCAUCCUGAAGGCAAAGACGAAGCUAAGGCAUGUCUUACUUGGUGGCAGGAAAGAGAGCAAGUGCAGCAGAACUCCUCUUUAUAAAACCAUCGGAUCUCAUGAAACUUAUUCACUAUCACAAGAACAACAUAGGAAAGACCCACCCCCAUAAUUUAAUUACCUCCCACUGGAUCCCUCCCACAACAUGUGGGAAUUAUGGGAGCUACAAUUCAAGAUGAGAUUUGGGUGGGGACACAGCCAAACCAUGUCACCCAGCUUCCCAUGUCUCAGGGAGAAGAUGCUCCUUCUACAUUCCUGGCCAGGAAUAAAAUCUGUUUGUCUUUUUUUCUGAUUGGGUGUUCCUUCUUUGCGACCAAUACAAAGUAGGAAACAAACUCAGUUUACUGGCAACAAGGGGGCUCAAACAACAGGCAGAUUGAUUAUCUACAAAUUGAACAGGCCCCGGAUGUAGUGAAUGCAGGCAAGGUUGGUUCAGUGGCUGUGUAAUGUCACAAGGACUGAGGUUGUGGGGGCCAAGAGAGAACUUUCCCCUUGGCCCUUUAAAGGUUGGCUGGAAAAUCGCUGACAUGAGGCAGAUUGGUUAAUAGGAAAAAAAGGUGUACAAGUGUAUUUAACGUGUAUACACAGGAGCCUUCGAAACGAAGACUCAACUUCCCAAUAAGGUAGAGAAGCUUAUGUGCCAACUUGAGGUUUCAGAAAGAAAGGGGCCUUGGAUUCUGAUAAAACAGGUUAUGGGAACAUGGAGAAGAGGAAGUCUAUUGAUGGGAAUAAAUGAUUAUUCAGGAGAAUGAUUGAAUGGGGAACAGAAAUUAAGUUGUAAAUAGUUCUCUUUGGAAAUUAAGUGAUCCUUGGAGAUAGUCAUCAUCUUGAAAAAGGGUCCAUUCAGGUGGUUACAUUUUGGUCUUACAGGGAGGGGAAGAAAACUGUUCUCCUUGAUAGGUCUGGAUCUUAGGCAGAUAAUGGAACUUCAGUUUCUUUGGAAGAAACGGUGGAAGGUCAGAGAGACCUUGAGUCUUGUUCUUCAGUUCAGCAUGUCGUAUUUUGGGGUACUGGUUUCUGAAAACCAACAGGUUCUUUCCAUCUUUCUGUCCUUCCAUCCUCCAUGUCCCAGCUCUGUCCUCAACCUGUUCCCUUUUUAGGGCUGCUGAUAGAGGUGUAGUGUGGUGGUUGUUAAAAGGAAAACUGUAGAGAAAUUUAACAAAGUUUAAUGGAGCAAAGAAUGAUUCAUGAAUUGGGCAGCCCCCUGAAACAGAAUAGGCUUAGGGCAACUCCAGGGUUGCCAUAUGGUCCAAUACUAUUUAUGGACAAAAAAAGUAAAGUGGCGUAUGGAAGAUGGAAGUGAGGUAAACAGAAACAAUCAGAUUGGUUACAGCUCAGAGUUGGUCUUAUUUGAACGUGGUUUGAACAGUUGGCUGCCUGUGAUCAGCCAAAUCUCAGCUGCUGUGAUUGGUUGAGACUUGGCGACUUGUUGUAAGAGUAGGUUGUGGUGUGUUUACACAUCCAGUUAGGUGACAGUUCACUAUGUAUUAAGAAACCUUUAGUCCCGACUGAAAAUAUCUAAAGAAGAAGCUGUAGACUAAAUUCAAUUUAACAAGACUAAAUCAUGGACUGGAGUUCAAAUCUCAGCUCUCUUGCUUAGAAGUCAUGCCUCAGUCUCCUCAUAUGCAAAGUAGAGGAAAAUGGAGGAAUUUAUCCCACUUGGUUGUGCUAAAAGAUAAACUGGUUUUAUUAAAAUAGUAAAGAGUUUAUUCGAACAGAGAGCAGUUCAUGAAUCAGGCGGCUCCAGAUUGCCAGCAGUCCACAGCUCCAACAAAGGAUCCUGAGGGGAGGAUUUUUAUAAGGUGCACGGAGAGGCAAGACAAAGAAAACAUCUGGCUGGUUUAAGUGCGGCAGUAGCCUAAUUUGAUUCAUUUCAGUGCACAGUUCCUAGUUAGAGUUUACUUGGCAGUUUCUGAUUAAACUUAAGUUUUGUUCUACUUCAACACUGAAUUGGGUUUUGGUUUACUUAUACAGGAACCCAGGGUGCUGGAGUUGCCUCAAUGUAAUGCCCUCCCAAUUAAUUAGCUGUUGCGAUCAUACAAGGAAUAAAUGCUGUCUGCCUUAUUUAUCAUUUUCUUGGCUGAAUCUGACUAUGCUAAUUCCAGACUUCAGACCCACAAUAUACAGUGAAGGAAGAAGAACCAUUCUUUCCAGUGUCUUUGUCUUUCUGUUAGCCUAGAGGGCGCAUGUAGAUUAAUUAGGAAACAUAUCCCCUUCCUUGAACCCCCACGCUGGAUGCUUUCUCACCUGAGGGUGACUUGUGUGCAUUAGACAACAAUGCCCAUUUGCUUUGUGUAAAGACAAAAGUGUUCUUUCUGGGUACCUGCCUCUCCACACUCCUCAUGGGCUGGUGAGCAGAAAUCAUAUGGGUCCACCCUAAAUUUCCUGGGCUGUGUGCUGUUGCUUCAAACCCUAUCUCAAAUGCCACUUAAUUUGCUUACACUGUAUCUUUAAAAUGGAAACUUUCAUCUUCCAUCAUAUCUUAUAAUUAUUUGUUUGUAUUUAAUUCCCCACAUCUGACAGUGAUCUCCACAGUGUCUUUUGCAAAUGUUCUUAAAUGUUUGUUCAUACUACUUAAUCUCUACGGAAUGGUACUGGAUCACUUUAACUUUAGGAGGUGGUGCCUUCUUAGACCUGAUAAAUCAAGUUUAGCUUAAAGCUGCCUCCUUACAUAUUUUAAGUUUGGUCUAAAGGUUUCUCCAUACAUUGUAAACUCUAACCUGACUGGAUGUGUAAAUAGACUGUAACCUACUCUUGUGCCACUCACUGAGCUUUGGUCAAUCACAGGUGCACAACUGUUCAAGUCAUGUUCAAAUAAGACAAACUGAGCUGUAACCAAUGGGCUGUUUUUGUACCUCAUUUUAGUUUUCUGUAAGUCACUUUCCUUCUAUCCAUAAAUCUUCCACCAUGUGGCUGUGCUGGAGUCUCUCUGAGCCUACUCUGGCUUGGAAGACUGCCUGAUUUGCUAAUCAUUCUUUGCUCAAAUUAAACUCUGUUAAAUUUAGUUAGUCCAGGGUUUUUUUUUUGUUUGUUUUUUUAAAAUCAAAUCUUCAGUGACUCUUUAUGGUGGUCAAUUAUGGCCAGGAUGGAUAGGAGACUACCAUGCAGAAAAGUAUGAGAGAGACUUGAAAACCAUGCAGUGAUCUUUAAAACCCUCUGAAUAUGUAUUUUCAAAUGCUGCUUUCAUAAGUCAUUAACCAUAAUUUAUUGAAUGUGUACUAUGUGUAUGGCAUUGUACUAGAUCCUUUAUAAACCAUAUAGAAUUUUUAUAGUAACCUUGAAAAGUAUGUGUUAUUAUAUCCACUGUACAUAUUGGGGGGACUGGAGGCUUAGAAAGUGGAAGUCGAGGCUUGCACACACUUAUUAUGAAAGGCCAGCUGGCAUGAUAGUGGUUCACCCUGAACAGCAGAUGGAACUGAUAACAGGCCCAUUAAAUUAUGGGCCAAAUAGUUUGCAACCUUAAGAAAUCCCUGUGAAAUGUUCAUAGAAUAUUAACUUCUUAUCUUAUCAAAGAAAAUUUUAACCCAUUGAAAUAUAAGAUUUGUGUUAGGGUCUGAAUGGCCAACCAUUUUUUUUUUUCUGUAUGUGUUUGAGAAUAAUGUGUUUUGCAAUUUUUACAUGCAGUAUUUUAUAUAAGCUUAUGGUACAGCUUGUUUAUUGUAUAAUUUAAAACUUCCUUGUCCUUACUAACUUUUGUCUGUUUAUUCUAUUGCUAAAAGUGGUAUAGUAAAUACACUACAAUAAUGCAUUUGUCAAUUUAUCUUUAGUUAUGUCACUUUCUGCUUCAUAUAUUUUGAGACCAUGUUAUUAGGUACAUAAAAUAUAAUAAUUAUAUUUUUUUCUGGCAAACUGAAGCUUAUUAUAAAUGACCCUCUUUGUUGCGAGUAAUGCCUUUUGCAUUUACAACUGAUGGAGACAGGACGCAGCCAAAAGUCCCUGGUGAAACCCCGCCUUCAAGCCUAAAACAGCCUGAAGGAUGAAAAACCAGACUUCUGGUGCCUGAUGAAGCCUGCCCUUUCCUGACUGAUUCUAAAUAAUGCCUACCUGCCAACUGGGAAGGCAGGGUGGAGCCUUCGGAAAUUCAUGACCUUCGCAGGGGAGAGGAGCUUGGCCUCUCCUAUUCCUGUGUGGUGACCUGGGAUUCAAACUGUGAGGCGGAAAACCUGCUAGCAGGAGUCUCGCUUUGCUGAGAGUUAUUUUUCUUUUCCUUUUUAUCCAAUAAAUUCCGUCUUCUCACGCUUCUAUGUGUCUGUGACCCUACUCUUUCCUGGUCGUGUGACAAGAGCCUGGUUUUAGCUGACCUAAGAAGAAAGUUCUGCAACAUUUUUGGUGUCCAGACGUGAGUCUUGAGGAAGGACAAGUACAGACAAUCACCAGGAACUAAGGAACAAGAAGCAUCCAACCCUGCAUCUGUGGGUUUCCUGAGGUGACUCUCAAUUGUCAUAGGGGUGAAGAGUGAGUGAGGAAACCCUUGGAGCACUUGUUUGCUUCACAGACAUCCUGACCUCCUUUCAACUGUAAAGACUUAGUCAGAGGACGGCGGCUCCCUCAGCCUCAUUCUGCAGUUCCAAUGACACUUUUUACAAAGGCUCUGUACUUGUCUGAUUCUUAAAUAUUCCAGUUUUUGAACUUUGCUGCAGUAGUUGUAUUCGAAAUGGGUUAAUUGUCUCAUUUUCUUUUUAAUGCCUACUCUUUCAAGGCUCAAAUCUUGAAUAGGUCAAAAAGAGCAAGAGGAAAAUGUCAGAGAAUGGAGAAAGGCAAAUACAGAGAAGCAGUGUGAACAUCCACCCGGCGAGGUGACCUGAUGGUGCUGCUCCAUGUCAGAGACAGUAGUGUCUGGGAAGAGGGAGCCCUUUCCACAGGGUGGAGCAAAAGGCCUGGAGCUGACACCUGGCUCCUGGGCCCACUCGCCCACCACCUCGAGCAACUCCCUUCCUUAACGUCUGCCCGAGUGUUAAGGGCUGAGCACAUGACCUCACAGGAGGAUGUGAGGGGCAGCGGUAACAUGUGUCUAGCACUUUGUCCCUUAUAAGUCACUCACAAAUACUUAUAUCCUUAUUAUCUUCAUCCUUUUCUCUUGAGUUUUUCUCUAAUUCUUUAAGAAGGAAACACGUAGCCAGGAAGUGGAGAGCCUCUCACAUACUUGGGGAGUUUUCAUAUUUCCCCCAUCAGUUCCUUUUCUGGCCUGAGCUCAUGCUCCCUAAGAUCAGGGCUUGGGCUUUGUUUUAGUCUGUGUUGUUAUAAAAGAAUAUCCAACAGUGUGUAAUUUAUAAAGAAAAGAGGUUGACUUGGCUCAUGGUUCUGCAGGCUGUACAGGAACAAGCUUGGCUCCAGCAUCUGCUUGGCUUCUAGGGAGGCCUCAGGAAGCCUUUACUCAUGGGGGAAGGCAAAGGGGAGCAGGCAUUAUGUGAGAGGAAGGAAGAGAGAGGCAGGGGAGGUGCCAGGCCCUUUUAAACAAUCAGCGCCCAUGGGAAAUAACAGAGCCAGAACUCACUCAUUAACUUCAGAAUGGCACCAAGCCAGUCAUAAGGAUCCACCUCCAUGACCCAGACACCUGCCACCAGGCCACGCCCAGUAUCAGGGAUCACAUUUUAACGUGAGACUCGGAGGGGACAAACAUCCAAAUCACAUCUGGCCCCAUAACCUUUGGAGACCUCAGCUCUGGCGCUAGGGUGGUAGGUCCCCUAAGGGUUCGUGCUCUCUGAAGGAAUUGGGUUACAUUACCUGGGAGAGCUUUCUGGAGGAAGUGAGCUUUGCUUCUCACAGGUUUCUAUAAGGAGAAGGAUGGGCUGUUGGAAAGGGAGUGAGUGUGUGUCCAAGUGAGGGAAAGUGAGGUUCAGCAUCUUGGUGCUCUUGGCUCAGCUUCCCUUUCUAUGCCAUGCACAGUGCCUCCAGGAUGCCAGGGGGUGCCAUCCCUGACCUGUUCUGGGGUGGGUGUGCAAGAUGCGAAAUGGCUAAUUUCAGUUCACUGGUAACUCUAACAUUUGGAUAAUAAUUGGCCAUAGCAUUAGCUUUGGUUAUACAUCUCCAAAUGUGUUAUUACAUUAUAUAUAUAUAUAUAUAUAUAUAUAUAUAUAUAUAUAUAUGCACACACACACGUAUACAUAUAUACACACAUCUACACUGUAUUGAUAUGUUGAUAUAUUGAUGUUAUGAAUUAUUUUAAAGAGUAUUCUAUUGAUGUAGAGGAUAAUAUGAAAUUCAAUAUUUUCUGGCACUCUUUUUAAAUGAUACUUAGGCCAUCUGAUGAAAACAGAGCUCAGUAAAGAUUUCUUAUUGAUAAAUCAACAUUACAAAUGAAGACUAGUUUCAUUGCCAUGAUCAGUAAAUUAAGGGUCAUAAAUUAACUGUUGAGUUAUUUUCUUUGCACUAUUAAGCCUUCCACUCAAUCUUUCUACAGUCUUUCUUAUUUAGCAAACGGUGUUACUUGAUAGAAACCUCUGCUGUGAUUUUGUUUUUUGAAAUUUAAUAAGAAAGCUAUAUAAUACAAUUCUCGGGGGAAAACAAGCAAGGUAGGUUUUUCACGGUAACCUCCAAGCAGAGAAAUGGUUUCAGUGCGCAGUCCAGUGAAUUUCCUCCAUAGAGUGUGCUGGAAGAAGUCACCUGGAAGUGAUCACCAGAGUGAUAUUCAGUUUGACUCUCAUUGGUUUGUAUAUAAUUGAUUAUAUAUAAAAACAAAUGCCAGGGUGAGGGUGGGACUAGAGUCCCCCUUUCAGGCUCCUCCCCUUGCAUUUCCAUCUGGUCUUGCAGCAAGUUAACCACGGUCCUAUCUUCAGGUUCAAUUACUCCCUUUAAAAAAUAGGUUUUAACACCUAUGUAUCUCUCAACAUUAUAUUGUUUUAUUUUGAAAAAUUGAAUAAUAACCACACACCUAGCUUUGGAAGCAAGAGGCUUCAUGGCCAGGAUCAGAUAAAUGAUCCUCUUAGAGUGGGUGGGACCUCAGCAUCCCAGAGCGUGUGGAAGAGUGCCUGCCAGGAAGCCACCAGACAAGGUCCUAAGUACAUGCAUGGAAACACUGGGCACGAUGCUGACUGUGGCAUGGGCCAAAAAGUGACAUGGGGCAGAACUUCAGUGGGAGGAGGGGUGCUCUGUACGUUCAGCUUCUAAGCCCACUGUGGCCUUCCUCUUAGGGUUUCACAGAGCCAAGCAGAAAAGGAGCACAGGUGACCUUGGCAGGAAGGCAUGCAUGGGAGAGCAGGUCUGCACUCUGGGACACCAGCCUCAACAGAAUACGAGUUUUGAAUUUUUGAAUUGCUGUUAAAACUUUCAUCAUGAACACUGAAGUGAGUGAAAAGAGACUUUUGCAGUCAUUUUUUUGUUCUCAGGUCCCUGGACCAUGAAGGGCCACAUCCAAGGAGCUACCCCAGGAGGCCUCUCAUUUGCAUUUGUCCCCGCUAAUGCAGGACAGAGAUCAUGGAAGUUGGGCCCGACUGGAUGAGAUUUGGGGGUCUUUGGAAGUGGAGAAUGUGUUUGCCCUGGGGAAGAGAGGUGAUGUCUAGGAGACCUCUUCACUCAGGGCAAGCUCUAUGACCUGCUUUGACUCCAGAAUGUGGUAGAAGUGGCAUCACAUAAAUUGCAGAGCCUAGGCUUCAAGAGACCUUGCAACUUGCCUCUCACUGACUUGAAGUGCUCCCAUCAGAGCAUCUUGUAAGGAGCAGGUGGAGCAUGUGGACAAGCCAUCCCCACCAGCCCCUGAGACAUGUGAGAGAGGCCAGAACAGGCCAUCCGGACCCCACUGUGCUGGUGGAUGAGACAGCAGAAGGAAUAUCAACCUACCAACAGAAUCCUGAGAAAUGCUCACUCUUACUUCAAGCUGCUGCAUUUUGAUGUUAUGAAACCAUAAAUAACUUAUGAAGUCAUCUUUGCUGACUUAAAGUUUUCCAUAACUUUAUUAUAACAUAUCAAAAUUAUGAAAAAUGUGAAAAGUAGAAAACUGAUGAAUUUUGCUUCUUCAUAUGGUCUUUAAGAAUCUCAAAGGCACUGAAGUUUUUUAUCUUUUCUGUCUUAGAAUAAAAAACCUUGAAUGAAAAUCUGCUUCUUGGAAAAGCAGCAAGGUUUAUGCAGAGGCAAUCUGGUAUUUGUGUGCACUGGCAGCUGAUCAUACCCAGCAUGCACGCACUCUCAGGGCAGAGUCUGAUGCCCCACAUAAUGGGGCAUGGUAAGGACUCCCAUGUCCUUGAGAUAAAAUGAUAAGGAAAAUACACACUGCUAUUAGAAUAACAGGCCCAGCUUCUGCACAUUUUAAUUCCCAAAGUUUUCAUGAAAGACAAUGAUUUUUUGGUACCAUGUUUAACUCUACAAGAAUCAGUAGUGAAAACUAAAAAUGAUACUUUGUGAAAGUUCAUUAAUUUUGUUUUCAGCCAGUGGUGGCCUUGGUCAGAUAGAAUCAAAUCUAUGAUACUUUUUAUCAGAAAUGCUUAUACUGUGUACAAACCCAAAGUGAUGGCUUUCAAAGAUUGAAUUUGAUUAUUUUCUGUAUGGUGCAGAUGAAAAAUUACUACACAGGAGAAGGUGGGUUGGAGGUGCUCACGAGUAACCAGGAAACAGUCUGAAGUUUUUCUGAUACUUCUCCUUGGUCCAACCAAAUGUGAGAUAUAAACACAAACUUGGGAUUCCGUUCUUAUGUUUUGGUUGUUUCAGUCUUUACAGAUGUAUCGAAAGGCUGUCCAAAAAUGUCUGACUUCUGUAGUGUGCCUUCGUAGCACUAGAGGGUUCUGCAGCUGUGAAACUGAAGGCAUUGGCAAGAAGCCCUCCAUCUUCAAACCACUUUCUGCUAAGGUGUGGCUCUAUAAAACCACUAUGAGCUGGGCUUCACUGAGACUGAGUUGUUUCAGUAGGAUCUUCCGGAAAAACAUGUUCCCUCCUUUACCUGGGUUGUCAUUCUGAGAACAAUCACACCUCCAAUUUUGGCUUACUAAGCAAUAGCGUUUUAAUGAUUUUAAGCCAGGAUUUGCUCCUCCUUUCCUCAGUAUGAGAGCUUAACCACUGGAGGAACCAAGAAUUCAUGCUGGUUGGGUUCUGAUUCCACUUUAACUUACUGUAUAGCCUCAUCCCUUGUUUUUCUGGAGAUUCUCUUUUUCUGCUUCACUGAUUUAUAUUUACAUUAAAAUCAAAUGAGGCCAUGUUUCUGAAAUCACAUUGUCCCUACAUGGUCAUUACAAUGAGUCUGUAAUGUGACUGAAAGACAGCCAUGGAUACAGGUAGAGGAUAUCAGGCAAUUGAAUGCUCAUCAAGCAUUCAAUUCAGGGCAAAUGGCAUAAGGUAUGCAGUUGGCCUCUUCUGAUAUCUGUGUCUUAAUCCUUUCUUUAGCCUCUGUUUUCUGGACCAAGGCUAAGAUAUUUUCUGGGCACAGUGGCUCAUGCCUAUAAUCCCAGCACUCUGGGAGGCCAAGGUGGGAGGAUUUCUUCAGCCCAGGAGUUCGAGACCAGCCUGGGGAACAUAGGAGACCUCAUUCCUACAAAUAAUAAAAAAAAUUAGCCAGCUCUGGUGGCGUGUGCUUAUUGGUCUCAGCUACUUGGGAGGCUGAGGUGGGAGGACUGCUUGAGCCCAGAAGAUCGCAGCUGCAUUGAGCCAUGAUUGUGCCACUGAACCCUAGCCUGAGCAACAGAGCAAGGCCUUAUCUCAAAAAAAAAAAAAAAUUCUGAGCCUUCUAAUUUUUUUUUUCUUUAAUUAACUUUCUGUAAGCCCAGCAAGUAAAUAAAACACUUAUUUUAUGAAGCAUCUAGUUGCUUUUAGGGGAAGGGACAUCCUCCGCAUAGUAUCUAGGCCAGCUCACUUUCUUCUCCUUACUGUUGAUUUACUCUCUGCCAUUGAAUCUUCUGUGCCAAUGUUGGAUUAAUGUUUCCGGGCCCUACUUUCAUCAUGCUCCUCUGUAUUAUCACCUGUUUUGGUUUACAGCAAUGAUUUUUAAGGUAAGGCAUGGUGUGUCCAUCAUAGUCACAUGGGAACUUUUUCAAGCCAUAUUAAAAAUGUCCCCCAUUCAUCAUUCUGCCCCUGGAACAGUGUGUGCAGUUGGGACCUUCAAGUAAAUCUACUUUGUUGAAACCCACUGAUCAGCAUGGUGUAUUUCAUAACUCUUUGACUUACAUUCAAGAAAUUCCUUAACCUGAACUCCAUUUUACUCUUUUUUUCAUUCAUUCAAAUUAAGAAUAUUGCCUGAACAUGAAUUAUCUGCUAGACGUUUUUCUAGGUGCAGGAGGAGUAAGGAUGAACAUAACUAGCCAUAACUAUAGCUAUCAAUUGUGGAGUGUCUGUUAUGUGCCAGGCACUUUUAAGUGACCUACUCGAUUUACUUGCAUGACAAACUGUGAGGAAAAGCCCAAUAUUAUCCCCUAUUAACAGAUGAGGAAACUGAAGCACAAACAGCAUGAAUAGUUUGUUCCAGAUUGCAUCAUAAGAGGCACAGCCAGCUUUCCUACCAAAGCAGCCCUGGCCCAGAGUCCGUACUCCCUCCUCCCCUGCCUCUGCCUGGUGGAUAAGGUCACCCUGGCCUUGUGGAACUUAUGCUCUAGUGGGGACAAAUAGUUAUAGAGAAUGACCGAUGUUACUAAGAAAAUAAAAGCUGGUAAGAAAACAGAAGCACUGAGGAGGUGACUGAAGUGAGCAUUUAUAAUUUUAUGUUAUAUCCAUUGUAAAAUAUAAGUUUAGCUUUCUCAUACCAGAAGCAGGGCUCAGUCCACCCUUGACUCAGUUUCCAAUACUGUUCCCCAUCAGAAUGGCUCUUGCUGGUGGCCAGAAGUAAAACUUAGAAAUAUCUCUCUCAGAGACACCUAAGCAGGCUGGGCUCCCCGGUUUCCUGUUGCUUCCUUUAAAGAAGCUCUUCAGACAUCUGCACAAGAACUCAAAGUGACCACCUCUCAGCCCAGCAUGACCUACUGGAACUAAUGCCUGCUUGCUUUCAACCUACCAAUUAAAGCUCCCCAGGAAACCUGUUUAGAUAACACCCUGGACCCAAGAAAGGUGCUGGGCCAUGGGUUUCUUCUCUCUCUCCCUAUCUGUGCUCCCUGACCCCCUGUGUGUGUGUGGUCUCUAGGCUUGCCUUCUAUCCCUGAGGGUCUGUAAAUACUAAAAACACUUAAACUUUCAUAUUGUAGUUGUGUCUUUGAAGCCAGGUCCCCAUCCCGUACCUUGAGGGCAAGGCCUCCUGGAAGGGACCCAUGUAGGUGGAUCCCCUGCUGUCCAGGCCUCUUAGCUGCUGGGGUAGUGACCAGUUAAGUGGAUAGAGUUUCAUUCAAAACAAUAAUCAUUCAACUGUAUCUCACAUCAAACCUCUGCUCUAGUUUAUGUAUCUACUUUAUGUUCUUAGAAGACUGUGCAAACACAUUGUCUUUUUUGAGUACCUGUCUUGUCCUAGGUACUCUGCUUGGUACGGGGAGAGACGAAUCUUCUGUCUUCAGGGGCUUCCACUCCAGCAGGGAGAACAUGACUAAUAGUGACUGCCUGCUGCUGUAGGUAAUAAGUGGCUCCCACUAGGCCCUCCAUUUGGUGGCCCCCUGUCCCUCUCACUGGUGGAAGCCUACCUGUCCUCUAAGGACCAGCUCACUAAUGUCCUAGAUCCUCACGGACCAGAUUGCUUUUCUCAGAACUGAAGAGCACUUACUAAUGGCACCUCUUGUCAUAUGCCAUCCCAGGAUUUGAAUUUUUUUUUUUUUUCUGUCUUGUGGCCCAAAUAAAUCCUGAACUCCUCGAGGGCUGGGAGUGUAUCUAGCAGUUUCCUUAUACUGGACUAAUCAGAUGCUGACUAGGUAGCAGUGAGAAAAAUCUAGAAAUUCCCUUUUAGCCACAUCGACUUACACGAGGGGAUGUGUGUAAGGUACUAUAGCUCUUUAAACAAGAGGUGGUCUCGUUUGAAGGGUGGAUUGAUGUGGGUGUUCAAAUGAUGUCACAAGUGGCUGGUUUCUCUGUCUCCAUUUCUUUUUUUUUUGGCUCCAUUUCCAAAUUUCCCAGAUAGCACAGCAAGUUGGCCCCAGCAGCUCUAGACACUCCAUCUUCUCAGGGCAUAGCCAACACAAUAAAAUAUUUCAAGUUCCUGAAAGAUAGCUGAAAUAAGCCCUAGAAGUUUCUGGAUUGGGAGCAGAGCCAAACCUGCCAGCUCACAUAGAUGAGGGCAGGGAAUAGGGUGUCUCACGAUCACAGUGUCCUGCCUUCUGAUUUGCCUGGGACUGUCCUGUUUUGGCACCAAAAAUAUCUGCAUCCUAGGAAACCCUCAGGUCCUGGGCAAAUUCAGACAGUGACUUGCCCUAUCAGAAGCAAAGCAAGGUGCCAUUACCUGAGGUGGGCAAAUUCAGACAGUGACUUGCCCUAUCAGAAGCAAAGCAAGGUUGCCAUUACCUGAGGUGGGCAAAUGGAGGCUGGGUGGCCAGUGAGUGACCAAUAACCCCAGCAUUGGAGAGAGUGGAGCAGCCCUUCAAGAAGUUCCAACCUCUGCCCAGGACUGGUUUUACCAACUUCACUAGGCUUAGAAUCGUAGGAAGUCUAUUUGGGACUUGCGAGUCUCACGUAUUCCUGCCUAAAUGUUUAUGGAUACCUGUUUAGAGCUGAAAUCUUUUCAGCUCCCAUAAUAUGAGGGAAUUAGGUCUCAAAGAAGAUCAUGUAUUUUGAUCAGACCUUAUAGCUGAGCAGUGGAAAGAAAAAAAAUCAGUGUGAGAUCUCCCAGGGUUCCGCAGGAGUGGCUUCCUUAGUCCAACUGGCAGCCUAUCCUGGAAUAUUGCCUGGGAGAGAGGUUAGUUGCUUUUCCUGGUGCUAGGAACUGAAUGGUUUUACAUAUUGAUCAAUGAAAAUACUUAUUUGGCCUACAAUAGGUGCAAAAAUACUGCUAAUUACUAACAGUAUCUCUUCUUUGCUGCGUGCCAGACACUCCACUGGGCAUUAUGCAGUUAAUAUGUACCAUGAAUUUCCCGUGGUUAGCAAUGAUGUCAGGCAUAGAAAAGACAUGAAAUUAUGAUGUCAAAUGAAUAAACUGGAAAAAGGAAUUUCUUGAAUUUUCUCCAGCUGUCCUAAGAAUGUAUCUAUACUUUGAUCCUGGCCUACCUUUUCAACAUCUAAACUUUAUUCCCCCAAGCUUCUAGAUAUUCAAAGUUAAGUAUUAAAUAAAAUCAGUAAAUAUAUACAAGCUUGUUUGGCCAUUCUGAAUAAGGUUAUAUUUCCACCACACAAUCUCCAAAUUCUCUAGCAGAAGGGAUCAGUAUGUUAUAGAUACCCCCUUUCCUUCCCUCCCUGGCAAGCCACCACAUCUGUUAUGGGUACUCAAUGCAGUGGCUGCACCUGGGCCUCACUCAUUAAGCAGUUGUUGAUUGAGUGACUGAAUUGAAUGCCUGAUGAGCUCGCAAGUAAGAUUCAGACUGUGCCUGCAAACUAAUAGGAUCCCUCCGCUUUUUAUUCACUACUGCUGAGGUAGAUCUCAGGCCAGCCUGAAGUUUAGGUCUACUGAGAAAUAAUAAGCCUCAAAAAUCGAGCUUUGCUUCACCCAGUCUCCCAGUAAACACUAAGAAAUGUUCACAUUAUUUACACAUCCUAGACUGCCUGUCUUAUGGACCAAAUGUUUGUGUUCUCCCCGCAAUUUAUACAUUGGAAUCCUAACCCUCAAUGUAAUAGCAUUAGGUGCUGGGGUCUUUGGGAGGUGAUUGGCUAAUGGACCUGGAGCCCUCAUGAUGGGAUGAGUCCCCUUAUCAGAAGAGACCUGAGAAGGCUUGCUUCCUCUCCCUGUGCUCUUCAUGAUGUGAAGACACAAGAAGACAGCCAUCUGUGGGCCAGGAAGAGGUCCUCACUGGAACCCAACCAUGCUGGCACCCCAAUCUUGAAUUUCUAGCUUCAAGAACUUGGGAAAUAAAUGUAAGCCAGCCAGCUUAUGGAUUUGUUACAGCAGCCUAAGCUAAGUCAGAGUCUCUAGAACAGCUGGUCUGGGGCAGCGGUGAAGGGAGGUGGGUGGGCAUAUGACCCUGCCCUGCACAUGAAUGGCAAAGGCAACUGGAGAGCCUCUCCCUUUUGGUGAGAUCCCCAGUCCACAAGGGCAUGUUCAUCCAUAGCUUUACUUCCCGAAGCAAAUUCUGGUUCCUGGGGCCUGUGCCUCCAUAGAUGGCAUGAUCUGCAGCCUCCUGUGGUAAUUUACCCUCUUCCUAAAUUUCUGAGUCUUCACAUUUAAGCAAUCCUAGUUAGAUAUCCUCUACCUGUAUCCAUGGCUGUCUUUCAGUCACAUUACAGACUCAUUGUGAUGACCAUGUAGGGACAAUGUGAUUUCAGAAACAUGGCCUCAUUUGAUUUUAAUGUAAAUAUAAAUCAGUGAAGCAGAAAAAGAGAAUCUCCAGAAAAACAAGGGAUGAGGCUGUACAGCAAGUUAAAGUGGAAUCAGAACCCAACUGUAGUCCAUUAUUUGUUUCAAUCCUGCUCUUUUCUACCAUAUCACCCAGUUUCCAAAUCGUUCAGCAAAUUGCCAUGGUCAAUGGGAUUAACCUUUCCCUUUUAUUCUCAGGAAAUCUCCCUUGUCCAUUUUGCAAGACUGUGUGAUUCUUUCUACUGUUACAAGGAAUAAAAGCCUUCCUAAAAAGGUCUUUGGUGCCUUUAUUAUUUUACGGAUCAUUUCUGAGGGAAUUAUUGAACUUCAUUAUGUAACCACCCCUUGGGUUCACCUUGCCCACUGCCUAGACAGAGCCAAUUUAUCCAGACAGGAGAAUUGCAAUGGAGAAAGAGUAAUUC